rnacentral:tRNA from 1 species
GCUGGUGUGGCUCAAUGGUAGAGCAGCUGAUUUGUAAUCAGCAGGUUGAUGGUUCGACUCCGUUCACCAGCUCCA